GCUAGCCUUCGGGUUCGCAUUGUAAUUUGUAGAGGAUGCUUUGGGUAAAACGCCAGUCUAAGUUCCUUGGAACAGGACGUCAUAGAGGGUGAGAAUCCCGUAUGUGACUGGAAAUGUUAACCUAUGUAAAGCUCCUUCGACGAGUCGAGUUGUUUGGGAAUGCAGCUCUAAAUGGGAGGUAAAUUUCUUCUAAAGCUAAAUAUUGGCGAGAGACCGAUAGCGCACAAGUAGAGUGAUCGAAAGAUGAAAAGCACUUUGGAAAGAGAGUUAAAAAGCACGUGAAAUUGUUGAAAGGGAAGCGCUUGCAAUCAGACUUGUUUAAACUGUUCGGCCGGUCUUCUGACCGGUUUACUCAGUUUGGACAGGCCAGCAUCAGUUUCGGCGGCCGGAUAAAGGCUCUGGGAAUGUGGCCUCCACUUCGGUGGAGGUGUUAUAGCCCAGUGUGUAAUACGGCCAGCCGGGACUGAGGUCCGCGCUUCGGCUAGGAUGCUGGCGUAAUGGUUGUAAGCGACCCGU
rnacentral:rRNA from 1 species